rnacentral:rRNA from 1 species
UACGUAGGCAGCAAGCGUUGUUCGGAGUUACUGGGCGUAAAGGGUGCGUAGGCGGCCGAUUAAGUUUGUCGUGAAAUCUCCCGGCUCAACUGGGAGGGUGCGGCGGAUACUGAUUGGCUGGAGUGCGGGAGAGGAGAGUGGAAUUCCUGGUGUAGCGGUGAAAUGCGUAGAUAUCAGGAGGAACACCGGCGGUGUAGACGGCUCUCUGGACCGUAACUGACGCUGAGGCACGAAAGCGUGGGGAGCAAACAGGAUUAGAAACCCCCGUAGUC